AACAAUCCCAUCAGCAACCAGACUCAACAUCUGGACAUCACUCAGCUCUGUCACACAUGUUCAGAUCAGGGCCUAUCUUUAUUCUACAUAGUGUUGAUCUCUGCUGGAUCUCUGUUGAUUGUAGCUGCAGUCGUGAUCUUCUGCAUCUGCAAGAAAUGUAGAAAAACAGGUCAGAAAAUUGUGAUCCAGGAGAUAUACACAGCUGGUUUUAAACCAACAUCUCGAAUAAUGAAAUCUGAGGAGCCUGUGUAUGGAAAAUAUCAUCAUAAACAAUCAGUGAUUAUCAAAUAUCAGAGUUCACGUGGAUGUUUUUCUUUUCUUUUUCUUUUUCUUCUGUUACUGUUAUUUGCUGAAAUGUUGCUGCUCUGUUUUAGUUUAAUUUUGCGGUUUAAUGAAUAGCACAGCAUCCAUUAACUCAAAAUGUUCUACUUUUCACCACACGGAAAUGUAAUAACUUCAUAACUUCAUCACACACAAUAUCAAUAUGCUCUGAUGGAUAUUUUGGCAAAUUUAGAAUCAUUCGUUUCGAACCAGUGAUUCGGAGCACGUACCAAAAGUCACAUUAUUAUUAUUAUUGAUAUUAAUGGAACAAUUUUAGAUGAACAGAAAUGGAUCAUAAAAAAAAAAAAAAAAGACACAAUAAUGUACCAG